GCCUCUUUAGCUUAGUUGGCAGAGCACUCGCUUAGUAAGCGAGAGGUCACGGGUUCGAUCCCCGUAGGAGGCU
rnacentral:tRNA from 1 species